rnacentral:rRNA from 1 species
UAGGGAAUCUUCCACAAUGGACGCAAGUCUGAUGGAGCAACGCCGCGUGAGUGAAGAAGGGUUUCGGCUCGUAAAGCUCUGUUGUUAAAGAAGAACGUGGGUAAGAGUAACUGUUUACCCAGUGACGGUAUUUAACCAGAAAGCCACGGCUAACUACGUCCCAG